GGAGAGGUGUCCGAGUGGUUGAAGGAGGCGGUCUUGAAAACCGUUGAGCUGCGAGGCUCCGUGGGUUCGAAUCCCACCUUCUCCG
rnacentral:tRNA from 2 species